CCUUAGUGUGUGAAGAGGACUCUCCAUUUACUUGAACAAAUUGGAGUCUAUUAGAUAGAUAUUUUUGUCAUGUACAUGCUCAAAGCAGCAGGAGAGACAGAGGAACAGAUGAAUAAGAUAUACAAUAUAUACAAUAAGAAUAGUAGUAUACAGUAAUAUACAGUAGGAUAGUGCAAGACAUCGUAUCAAAUAACUCUAAUGCACAAAGAUUCCCCCCACACACACUCUGCAGCACUGACCUCUGACUUGAAGUUUCACUUCUUGUUUCUUCUUUAGCAUACAGGAACUGCUGUAGACGGUGCAGGUGUAGGUGUUUGUGUCCCAGUCUGUGGGGUAUUUCAGUUUCAGACUGAGGUCUCCAGUUUUCAGCAGGUCUUCAUUCAUCUCUGUAAUCCUGGUGCUGUUCUUCAGGCUGGUCAGAGCCGUUCUUAUACACAUGGACCUUCUUCUUGUUCUCCGUCCACUCCACUUUAGGGUCUUUUUUUUUUUUAAUCAGACGAACUCUGAUUUUGAAAGGCAGCUGGACAGACUCCACCCCUGAAUCCACCUCCACCUGGGGGACUGAGAGGACAACCAAGCACAACAUGAGCUGAACAGGCAGCAGAAGCUUUUUCUUCCUCAUCAGUUGGAGGUAAAUUGCAGCAGACCCUUUCUGCAUUUUGGAUUGGAGUGGAGAAAUUUUACCCACUGCUAGGUCUCCCUCCUUGUUGUAGACGGUGCAGGUGUAGGUGCCUCUGUCCUUGUUUGUGGGGUGUUUCAGGGCCAGACUGAGGUCUCCAGUUUCUAGCAGGUUCAUCUCUGUUCGCUUCCUGUAUGCUGGGCUUUGGUCUUCAAUCCUAUCACAACCAUUCUGGUGCACAUGGACUUUGUUGUUGUAUCUGUCCUUCCAUUCCACUUUAGCAUCUUCAGGUAUAUUUUUUGCUUUGGUUUUGAAAGGCAGCUUUACAGACUCCACCCCUGACUCCACCUGCACCUGACAGUCUGAUGGGACAACAAACAACAUGAACUGUACAAACAGCAGCAGCAAGUUUUAAAGAAAGCUGAAGGACAGCAAUUCUUUCAACUUCUGGACCUUUGAGUGACACUUAAGGAGCCACCAGGGGACACUUGUUAACCACUAGUGUGUCUGACACGAGAGACUCACCUGACAUGAAAUAGUGUCGAAAUCUAUAUGUGAGACCCCCAAAAAACACAAGAACAAGAAGAACUACGACAGCUGUG
ensembl:lncRNA